rnacentral:rRNA from 4 species
UACGUAGGGUGCGAGCGUUAAUCGGAAUUACUGGGCGUAAAGCGUGCGCAGGCGGUUUUGUAAGACAGAUGUGAAAUCCCCGGGCUUAACCUGGGAACUGCAUUUGUGACUGCAAGGCUAGAGUACGGCAGAGGGGGGUAGAAUUCCACGUGUAGCAGUGAAAUGCGUAGAUAUGUGGAGGAAUACCGAUGGCGAAGGCAGCCCCCUGGGUCGAUACUGACGCUCAUGCACGAAAGCGUGGGGAGCAAACAGG